CAUGUCUGGCCCAGGAGAAGCUGUCUCCAACCUCGGACCGUGUAUAGGCUAACGGUGCCCUGGCGUCUCAAAGGGAUUAGAUCUCUCAACAAAUCCAAACAAGGUCAAGUGGCAGGAAACUGAACCCACAGGGAGGAACCUGACACAUCCUAUUGCAUUAUGCAUGUGCGAAACCCCAUGGAUCUUCAGAGCGGAUUUACAAUGUCAGUGUAUAGGGAUGAAAUCUGCAGUGAAUUUUAGGCACAAUCUUCAGCAAAACCCACAGGUACCACAUGCAAAUAGUUUUUUGCU